rnacentral:miRNA from 1 species
UUAGGUCAGCCAAAAAGUUCGUUCAAGUUUUUCCAUAACAUCUUAUGGAAAAACUAGAAUGAACUUUUUGGCCAAACCAA